UACGUAGGUGACAAGCGUUGUCCGGAUUUACUGGGCGUAAAGAGCGCGCAGGCGGUCGAUCAAGUCGAGUGUGAAAGCCCCCCGGCUCAACUGGGGAGGGUCAUUCGAUACUGAUCGACUCGAAGGCAGGAGAGGGUAGUGGAAUUCCCGGUGUAGUGGUGAAAUGCGUAGAUAUCGGGAGGAACACCUGAGGCGAAGGCGGGCUACUGGGCCGAUACUGACGCUGAUGUGCGAAAGCCAGGGGAGCGAACGGG
rnacentral:rRNA from 1 species